GCCCCCGUAGCUCAGUGGACAGAGUGCCGGCCUCCGGAGCCGAAGAGGACAGUUCGAGUCUGUCCGGGGGCACCU
rnacentral:tRNA from 1 species